rnacentral:rRNA from 1 species
UGAGUACGAGACGCUAAGGCGUUGAAGCAGUCUAUGUCAGACUUCCAAGAAAAGCUCGCAAUGUCAUAAACAAAAGAUGCCUGUACCAUAACCGACACAGGUGGGUAGGUAGAGUAUACUAAGGGGCGCGAGACAACUCUCUCUAAGGAACUCGGCAAAAUGACUCCGUAACUUCGGGAGAAGGAGUGCCUUAUUUUUAUAAGGUUGCAAUAACAAGAUCCAAGCAACUGUUUACCAAAAACACAGGUCUCCGCUAAGUCGUAAGACGAUGUAUGGGGGCUGACGCCUGCCCAGUGCCAGAAGGUUAAAGAAGUUGGUUAGUUUCGGCGAAGCUGAUGACUGAAGCCCUGGUGAACGGCGGCCGUAACAAUAACGGUCCUAAGGUAGCGAAAUUCCUUGUCGGGUAAGUUCCGACCCGCACGAAAGGCGUAAUGAUUUGGAUACUGUCUCGGAGAGGGGCUCGGUGAAAUAGACUUGUCUGUGAAGAUGCGGACUACCUGCACCUGGACAGAAAGACCCUAUGAAGCUUUACUGUAACUUGAGAUUGAAAUUGGACUUUAUUUGCGCAGUAUAGGUGGGAGACGUUGAGAAUAUUCUUGCGGGAAUAUUGGAGUCAUCAGUGAGAUACCACUCUUGUAAUGUUAGAUUUCUAACUUUGUAUCAUGAUCUGGUCAAAGGACAGUUUCAGGCGGGCAGUUUGACUGGGGCGGUCGCCUCCCAAACGGUAACGGAGGCGCACAAAGGUUUCCUCUGAACGUGUAGAAAUCGUAUCUAGAGUGUAAAGGCAUAAGGAAGCUUGACUGUGAGACCUACAAGUCGAGCAGGGACGAAAGUCGGUCUUAGUGAUCUGACGGUGCUGAGUGGAAAGGCCGUCACUCAACGGAUAAAAGUUACUCUAGGAUAACAGGCUGAUCUCCCCCAAGAGUUCACAUCGACGGGGAGGUUUGGCACCUCGAUGUCGGCUCAUCGCAUCCUGGGGCGGUAGUACGUCCCAAGGGUUGGGCUGUUCGCCCAUGAAAGCGGUACGCGAGCUGGGUUCAGAACGUCGUGAGACAGUUCGGUCCAUAUCCGGUGUAGGCGUUAGAAUAUUGAGAGGAGCCUUCUUUAGUACGAGAGGACCGAGAAGGACAUACCUCUGGUGUACCAGUUAUCGUGCCAACGGUAAACGCUGGGUAGCUAUGUAUGGAGUGGAUAACCGCUGAAAGCAUCUAAGUGGGAAGCCCACCUCAAGAUAAGUAUUCU